UACGAAGGGGGCUAGCGUUGCUCGGAAUCACUGGGCGUAAAGGGUGCGUAGGCGGGUCUUUAAGUCCGGGGUGAAAUCCUGGAGCUCAACUCCAGAACUGCCUUUGAUACUGAAGAUCUUGAGUUCGGGAGAGGUGAGUGGAACUGCGAGUGUAGAGGUGAAAUUCGUAGAUAUUCGCAAGAACACCAGUGGCGAAGGCGGCUCACUGGCCCGAUACUGACGCUGAGGCACGAAGGUCAGGGGAGCAAACGGG
rnacentral:rRNA from 1 species